UACGGAGGGUGCGAGCGUUGUCCGGAAUCACUGGGCGUAAAGGGCGCGUAGGCGGUCUGACAAGUCUGAUGUGAAAUCUAUGGGCUCAACCCAUAGUCUGCAUCGGAAACUGUCGGGCUUGAGUAUGGGAGAGGUGAGUGGAAUUUCCGGUGUAGCGGUGAAAUGCGUAGAUAUCGGAAGGAACACCUGUGGCGAAAGCGGCUCACUGGACCAUUACUGACGCUGAGGCACGAAAGCUAGGGGAGCAAACAGG
rnacentral:rRNA from 1 species